rnacentral:lncRNA from 1 species
UUUAGAUCUCAUUGCACAUAGUUAAACGCCAUCCAAGAAAACGUUGUCACGCCAUCAACAGUUGGUGAUCUCUGCUGGUGGAAGGGCGCAGGGAUACUCCCAAAGAACUAUCUACAACAACCAUUGGUCUUAGCGUCCUAUCUCUGUAUUUUGCUUUUGAGGUCACUUUUGAUAAGCCAAAAAUAAUUAUAGAAAGAAAUCUGUGGUGAUAUCCAAACUCUAAAACAACCCAGGAGUGACGGCCAUCCAGGGAGAGCUGCUGAAACGUUUUGGAAUAAAACCUGGGCAAGCCAACAACAGGCCCUGUUCUACAGGAUGCAACUUCAGGGACUUCAGGAAAGUCUUUCUGAUUUUAAGGAAGUUGAAUGAUGCAAUCCAACCAUGUGACCAGAAGCAGUAGUAACGGAACAUUUGUGAAAGUUUUUGCCGAGACUGCAGGGAUUCUCAAGAGAGACGCCAAAUGAAGUCAGGAGACCGCCAUGAUGGGGCCAGAAAGCACUGGAAAUUUAUACUCCCCUUUGUUUGCUUUGAGGAAUUGUGUAAGAUUUCUUCAAGAAGCCAUCUAAAUCCAGUAGCGGCUGCAGAACCACACCACACCGAGAAUCACGUGAGGACUCUGAGAGAUAGCUCUGCGUUCACACACCGCCUCUCCAACUUUCAAGCCUUGUGUGGUCUUUAGAGGUCUGUAGAUUGGCUGGGAUUUGGCAAAUUUUGCCUGGUCCCGACUGGACUCGAUUCUACUCUGGAGGUCAAGUUCAGGUAUCUUUCACAUGUCUUAUGCAAGAAACCAUUAUCUACUUGGGCAAGUUUUUCUCAUAGUGAUGGCGAAAGUGCAAGAGAACAACUCUGACCACAUCAACACAUUUAAAACCCCUGUUUGGAAUGUAUGUGCACUGUAUGAAGAAAAUUUGUGAACUAGUGAUCCUGUCCAUCAGUAUAUCAUGAAUGUUUCUCCAAAUCAAUUGCUUAUGCUGUUGUUUUUGUACAAGUUGUAAAAUCUGCAUUCUAAUAACCUGUUCCUUUGUAAAUUCUGGAUUUUGUGUCUUACCUAAGUCUCCAUGCUAAUCAUGAAUAAAUAUC